rnacentral:rRNA from 1 species
UAGGGAAUAUUGCAAAAUGGGCGAAAGCCCGAUGCAGCAACGCCGCGUGGGCGAUGAAGGCCUUCGGGUCGUAAAGCCCUUUUUGAGGGGAUGAGGAAGGACAGUACCCUCAGAAUAAGCCUCGGCUAACUCCGUGCCAGCAGCCGCGGUAAAACGUAGGAGGCGAGCGUUAUCCGGAUUUACUGGGCGUAAAGCGCGUGCAGGCGGAUUGGAGAGUUGGAUGUGAAAGCUCCCGGCUUAACUGGGAGAGGUCGUUCAAUACUUCCAGUCUUGAGUGCAGUAGAGGGGAGUGGAAUUCCGGGUGUAGUGGUGAAAUGCGUAGAUAUCCGGAGGAACACCAGUGGCGAAAGCGGCUUCCUGGACUGUAACUGACGCUCAGACGCGAAAGCU